UGGGUGUGAAAGCUCCCGGCUCAACCUGGGAAUUGCAUUGGAUACUGGCGGGCUGGAGUGCGGUAGAGGAUGGCGGAAUUCCCGGUGUAGCAGUGAAAUGCGUAGAGAUCGGGAGGAACAUCCGUGGCGAAGGCGGCCAUCUGGACCAGCACUGACACUGAGGCACGAAAGCGUGGGGAGCAAACA
rnacentral:rRNA from 1 species